CUACAUCCACCCUGUAGAUCCGAAUUUGUUCUAAUAUUUGUCAGACAAAUUCGGUUCUAGAGAGGUUUGUGUG
rnacentral:pre_miRNA from 1 species